UACGGAGGGGGCUAGCGUUGUUCGGAAUUACCGGGCGUAAAGCGCACGUAGGCGGCUUUGCAAGUUAGAGGUGAAAGCCCGGGGCUCAACUCCGGAAUUGCCUUUAAAACUGCAUCGCUAGAAUUGUGGAGAGGUAAGUGGAAUUCCGAGUGUAGAGGUGAAAUUCGUAGAUAUUCGGAAGAACACCAGUGGCGAAGGCGACCUACUGGACACAUAUUGACGCUGAGGUGCGAAAGCGUGGGGAGCAAACAGG
rnacentral:rRNA from 1 species